UAGAGUUUGAUCCUGGCUCAGGAUGAACGCUAGCGGCAGGCCUAACACAUGCAAGUCGAGGGGCAGCACAUGAAGUAGCUUAAUACGGAUGGUGGCGACCGGCGGACGGGUGCGUAACGCGUAUGCAACCUGCCCUGUACAGGGGGAUAGCCCGGAGAAAUCCGGAUUAAUACCCCAUAAUAACAUUUGAUGGCAUCAUUAGAUAUUUAAAGCUUUGGCGGUACAGGAUGGGCAUGCGUUACAUUAGUUAGUUGGUGAGGUAACGGCUCACCAAGGCGACGAUGUUUAGGGGUCCUGAGAGGGUGAUCCCCCACACUGGUACUGAGACACGGACCAGACUCCUACGGGAGGCAGCAGUGAGGAAUAUUGGUCAAUGGCCGCGAGGCUGAACCAGCCAUGCCGCGUGCAGGAAGACGGCUCUAUGAGUUGUAAACUGCUUUUCCGGAGGAAUAAAAUCAUAUACGUGUAUAUGACUGAAGGUACUUUGGGAAUAAGGAUCGGCUAACUCCGUGCCAGCAGCCGCGGUAAUACGGAGGAUCCAAGCGUUAUCCGGAUUUAUUGGGUUUAAAGGGUGCGUAGGCGGGUUAAUAAGUCAGCGGUGAAAACCUUCAGCUUAACUGGAGACUUGCCGUUGAUACUGUUAGUCUUGAGUACGGUGAAGGCAGGCGGAAUGUGUAAUGUAGCGGUGAAAUGCUUAGAUAUUACCCAGAACACCGAUUGCGAAGGCAGCUUGCUGUCCCGGGACUGACGCUGAUGCACGAAAGCGUGGGUAUCAAACAGGAUUAGAUACCCUGGUAGUCCACGCAGUAAACGAUGAUCACUCGUUGUCGGCGAUAAACAGUCAGCGGCCAAGCGAAAGCGUUAAGUGAUCCACCUGGGGAGUACGGCCGCAAGGCUGAAACUCAAAGGAAUUGACGGGGGCCCGCACAAGCGGAGGAACAUGUGGUUUAAUUCGAUGAUACGCGAGGAACCUUACCCGGGCUUGAAAGUUAGUGAUUCUUGAGAAAUCAGGAUUUCCCUUCGGGGCUCUAUGCAAGGUGCUGCAUGGUUGUCGUCAGCUCGUGCCGUGAGGUGUCGGGUUAAGUCCCAUAACGAGCGCAACCCUUAUCGUCAGUUGCCAUCGGGUAAAGCCGGGGACUCUGGCGAAACUGCCGGUGUAAACCGAGAGGAAGGUGGGGAUGACGUCAAAUCAGCACGGCCCUUACGUCCGGGGCUACACACGUGUUACAAUGGUCGGUACAGAGGGCAGCUACCCUGCGAAGGGGUGCGAAUCUCGAAAGCCGGUCUCAGUUCGGAUCGGAGUCUGCAACUCGACUCCGUGAAGCUGGAUUCGCUAGUAAUCGCGCAUCAGCCAUGGCGCGGUGAAUACGUUCCCGGGCCUUGUACACACCGCCCGUC
rnacentral:rRNA from 1 species